AGAACCAUGUGAUACGAGUGGCUGAUGAAGCUGAAUCAUUAUGGACAAAAUUUUGAUUUUAUUAAACCAAAAUGAGUGCUCGAACUCAGUCUUUGCAUACUGAAUUAUUGGUGCUCAGGUGUUGAGAGUACCACAAAAAUUUUGUGAAAAUGGAGAAGUGAUGCAGCCCAACUUGCAAAUGGGGCCUUAUGGAGGAUCUUGAUUCUUGAGUAAAGCGAGAAGGCUUCUGUGUUAAGGAUAAACAUGAGUUGCAUGAGCUUCAUGCUAAUACCCAAAAGGACCCUCAGCUCCAGCAUGAAAAUUCAGCAAAAGCAUUCGCUAAAGAUCUCCAGAUUUCUUGCUGACUUGCUCCUCCACAUCAGCUCACAACAGUAACACAGAACAGCAGCCUCUUCUCCUUGAAUCAUGUUGCAAACUCAAGCUCCUUUAUUGACGGCCUGAAUUACUUCUGACAAGCCUCUCAUCUCAGUACACUAUCAGCUGCUCUGUGCCUCAUCACAGCCCACCUUCGGUCCUCUCAAUUUCUACUUUUGUGUUGCUGUGUAUUAAUCUCCAUUUACUCACUCCCAUUGGGGGUUUUUCUCUUCAAAGGAGUUAUGUUAUGAAUUUGUCGCUGGAGCAUGUGGACUUGCACCAAUGAGCUUUAACUCAAAUGGUAGGGGGUACUAAAAGUUCAAUGGAGACCUAUGGACCUUAUGAAAGUAUUGUGCCAAAUUGACAUCAUGGGCAUUUUGGUUUCUUUUUCUUUUGUUGGAAUUGUAGGUUCUGAAUUACCAUUCAGUACCUAAUCUCGUGAAAGCUGCUACAUGGGAAAAGGUAAUCAAUGGCAGCAGAGGAUUUUAUUGUGGCUAUUGUAUGAUUGUGUUAAGGUGGAUGAGUUGAUUAUAGUAACGGAAUGGGAGGAUGUCUAAUUACAGCCAGCACUAAACCAAUUGCAAGCUAGUACUAGUUCUGAUACCUUCAAUUAUUAAACUGUUGAGACGAGAAAUGGAAGAUGCAUUUGGAUGGUGACAUUAUCUGUUGACUUGCUGGUUUAUGCGCAAAACUUAGUCACCGAAGACAGUUUGGUCAGUCAAUUGGCAAAAUGGAUUGAUACAUCUUAGGCAAGCUCUCUUGUCAACCGUGUUAUUGUGGGCUCAAAACAAUUUCAAUGAGAAUCCAUUUGAUUUGAGCAGAGUCUUGAUCACCCAGCAUUUGAGGUUGGUGUCCAAUGUGCUUUCAUUGUUGGUGAUUACAAGUGCAUUUCUGCAAAUAAAAUGGCUGGUGCUUUUAGUUAUUUUUCACAUUGGCAGUGCAUCUCUUGGUAAAGCAUGUGGGAUCGAUACUUUAAGAUGAGCCCUAAAGUUAGUUCAAAUAUCAACCUUGAAGAGCUUCAUUUUAUUCUACAAGGAUAUGACCUUUAGACCUGAUCUUGGCUUCUGUGCUGUGGCAUAGAAACUCACAAGCCAAACAAAACUUAUGUAUGUGUUGAUCAUGAAGUUAUUGGAUAUAGUACAAUCUAUUUAUGCUUCUUUUUAACCAUGAAGUUAUUGGAUUUGAUGGAAAAGGCUAUUGUCUUUGCCUAGGCCAUUGGAAAAAGUGAUUCAAUGCAUCAUUAUGUAAGCUUGUAGAGAAAUAUACUGAAAUUUUAACUAGUUGAGGAUCUUCACAGCAGUAAUGGAAUCUCUUACACUUUUGGGCUCUGAUGAGUUGUCACCUUGACUUUUGAUGUUAAGGGAACAUAUUACACCCUCUAGAGAACCUGGCAUGUGCUUUUGGUAAUAUCUUUGAUGUACUGUCACAACAUGGAGAUUUUGAUUGUUGGUGAUGGAUCUAAGAUCCUUGUUUUUUUUUUUCUUAUCGUUUCUACAUUUAUCGGGCAAACAAGCAAAGAUUUGAUGUUUCUUUAAAUUGCUUGGUCAUAGUAAAAAUGUUAACUGUGAAAAGAAAGAAGUGAAUCAUGCCUAAUGAGUUGUUCUGUUUGACUACUGAGAGAACAUAUAGGUGACGAAUUGAUGAUAUGAAAGAGUUUGAAUUAUAAUUGAAGUAAAAUAGUUACAAUCAUUUUAUGAACUACUUGUUUGUUAUGAUCCUAUGAAUCAGCAUCAUGAAUAGUUCUGUUCUAAUUUCCUCUUUCUCUGUUUUUCUCUGACAUUCCUGGGGUUGUUGAAGCUGAGCUACAGCCUGUGGUUUCUGCCCAGACAUUUGGUCGUGGUCCGGGUGGGGCUGGUGGAAAUAGGAGUUCUGUUGCCACCAGAAUUAUUUUUCUGUUUAUUGGAUCUGCAAUUGUUAACAAUACUCGUGCACCAGAAAUUGCCAAAAGGGAAGUGGUUCUGUUGCGUAGAUUGUAACAGAAUUCAUUGUGCUUUGGAGAAUUUGGUAUUUUGCAGAGAACAAAAGCUUCCUUAAUCACUUUCAGUCCUUGUUUACUUGCAUUCAGAACCAUGUGCUGCCAAUGGCUGAUGAAGCUGAAUCAACAUGGACAGAAUUUGGUUUAUUCGACCAAGAUGAGCUUAAUAAGUAGAAGAAACAUUACCACAACAGUGCUGCAAGUCAAUCUCUGCAUGUUGAGUUAUUGGUGCUUGCAAAUGGCCUCAUGAUGGAUCUUAAGUGAAGGAGGAAGGCUUCUGGAGUGGAAAUUUUCGAUUCUGCAAGAGACAAAUCUUGUGUGGUGUUUGCUUCACCUUGGGACGAACAAUAAUGUAGCUAAGCAUAGGAUAGAUGCUUCUGUGCGACCCUCGUGCGCCAUUAGCUCGAGCGAAGUUGCGAUAUUUUUUAAUAAACACUACUUUUGUAACUAUACUUUCAAUGUUGAAUCCUAAAUUAUAUUUAAGCACAAUAAUGCCAGCUUCACCAUCUAUUUGUUAUUGUUGUUCAGUUUGAUGAAUAAGAAUACUUGAGAGAGAGUUUCUCUUUUGUUUCCUA